rnacentral:rRNA from 1 species
UACAGAGGGGGCAAGCGUUGUUCGGAAUUACUGGGCGUAAAGGGCGCGUAGGCGGCCGAUCAAGUUAGAUGUGAAAGUCCUGGGCUUAACCUGGGGACUGCAUUUGAUACUGAUUGGCUUGAAUUCGGGAGAGGAUAGCGGAAUUCCCAGUGUAGAGGUGAAAUUCGUAGAUAUUGGGAAGAACACCGGUGGCGAAGGCGGCUAUCUGGACCGACAUUGACGCUGAGGCGCGAAAGCGUGGGGAGCAAACAGG